AUGAGGGGGCUCAAGGUGCCAAGCCUACUAUGCUUGCUACUGCUCAUACCGCUCUUGCUUCCUGGCUCUGAAGCCGACACAUGCAGUCGGUUCAGCAGGACCUAUAUUGUUAAGCCUCCCGAAUGCAACCAUGAUCCAUGUGCCAAGGCCUGCCAAAAGGAGGGAUUUACCGAAGGGGUCUGUGAAAUCAUUCGUGCCACACCUAUUUUUAUGCGUUGUCUCUGCAAGAAAGAGUGCUAA
rnacentral:rRNA from 1 species